UUUUACCUAAUUUUACAAACAGGCAUCCCACACGGCCUACUUUGAGCCGUACUUUUGACUCAUCAAAUUGUCUCCGCUACACCUGCUGUGCUCAAAAACCUCCAGUUGGUUACAGUUGUAUCAGGAUUGGUCAGCAUCUUUCACCGCUUUUUAAGUUUCAAUUAGCCGCGCAUGCUAGCGGCACACAGGAGGACGCGCAGGUUGGCGGACUCCCGUGGAUAUUUUCGGCGUCCCGUUCUUCCCUCUGAAGUCCCUCAAACUUCAUCAAAGGGGAACAAGCGGCGCGAGGAGGAGGCGGGAACACAAGAAAAGAAAAAAAUGAUAAAAGAGUAGAAAGGGAGCAAACAAACCCCGUGAGGGAUCAGCUACAGAGCACUCACACCCUCGGCUUUCGUUCUGGCUCUGGUUUCCACUUUCACACACCGCAAAGACCCCAUGAUCCGACCUGAGCUACCCACACGCAGCAGACUGGCUUCCCCGGGACGUGUGUUGGAAGAGUCCUGAUGGAACAUCUCUCUGUCUGUGAGGUCAGCUGAGAUUAGUCAGCAAACGGCACUCUUCAUCAUUCCUUCCUGUCUGGAUGAUUAACAGGGCGGAGUUCAGCCUUGUAUAUUUUACUUGAGACCAGAAGUGAAAUAUUUAUAACUCUUACAGAAAAUACACGGAUGAGUCCCAAAACUUCAAAAACAAUUUGAACCAAGUUGCGCCUCAGUACUGGGAAAAGUUCACUCACUUACACUUUUUUUUCUACAGAUUGUGUCAAAAAAACCCCAAAAAACGGCUACCACCCAAAAGUAAGCAUAGUAAGUAAAAACGUGUAAAACAAAGUGUUGAACUACGAAACAUCCCUUUUGAGUAAAUCCAGUUUUCCAUGAAUGUAGUCAAGUGAAUGAUGAAAACACUUGUAACAAUUUGAAUCAAUGUAAUCUUGAAGCACAAAAAAGGAAUUUGUUCUUCAGCUGUCGACAGUGGACUCAGCUACAGUUGUGUUAGCUACCGCUUGCGAGUUUCCGCUACAAAACCACUAAAGAAGAGCCAGCUACUUACAUUUGUUUAGUUUUGUUUUUUUUGUGUGUAGUAGUCUUUAGGAUACCCUGCAGAAAAAUUAAAUUGUAAAAGUAUAACAAGUCAGACAGGCUAAUGAUUAGUCGCUAGCAACUCCAAAGUUAGCCUCUGUUUCAAUUGCUUCCUGCUGAAACUGAAAGGUUAUUUUACCACUUAUUGAUUAACAUGGACUAAAUUUGCGACAGUUCAAGCCCUUAAAUUAGGUGACUUGAACUGAAUAAUUGUAUGCUGACCAAAUAUUUUUUAAAACAGUUUGAGAUGUAUUCUAUUUAUUUAUUUCUAUUCUAUAAAAUGCCUCAAGCAUUUUCAUAAGCCAUUUACCACAUCUAUCUGCUGUAACCCAUCUUCUAAAUAAUCAACUACGAUGAGAAGAGAGAAUGUAACACAUUCUCAUUCAGUCACAAUUAAAGUUUGUCAAACUUACUUUAUGUUUCUUUAACUUUGCAACUAAUAUCAACUGGGAUAAACUUAAUUUGAUUACUUGUGAUUAAAUAAAGCAGUGUGUUUAAGUUGGA